rnacentral:lncRNA from 1 species
AUUCCUGUUAUAUGAUAAUUAUAUGACAGGUGUGUGUGUGUGUGUGUGUGUGUGUGUGUGUGUGUGUGUGUGUGUGUGUGUGUGUGUGUGUGUGUGUGUGUGUGUGUGUGUGUGUGUGUGUGUGUGUGUGUGCGCGUGUGUGUGUGUGUGUGGACAGAGGAUUUGGCUUAAAGCCAGCCAAAGAUUUAACAUCUGACACAAAGGAUAAUUAAUGUUGAUUAAUCCAAAGCAAUGUGACGUGAAUUUGAAAGAGAUAAUCCUUCGCCAGGAAUGUGUGGGUGUAACGUAAAACAACCCUAAACAAACAGUGUUAUGUGUAUAAAAGCAGACCUGAACUGGACGUAGACAGGACAAGUGCAGGAGAAGCAAAUUAAAUACAAUUCUUCACUUACCUUCUCACUAAUUAUGAAGCUGAUCAUCUCAGUGAUUCUUCUCUGGACCAUCUUCAGCACAGCUGAAGGAAUCUUGUGUAGAGUCUGCACUGAUCGAAAUGAUUCAACAUGUGCUAACGCCGUGACAACAAACUGUUCCGAUACAGAAAAGUGUCUGUCAGCUCGUGUCUCUUAUUCCAAUGGACAGAUCAGACUCUACUAUUCCUGUGGGUCUGAUAAUUUAGACUGUUUACCCGGAAACAAUCGUGAGCUCAACAUAAACUUGGGCGACACAUAUAUCUUUGCAGAAUACAGGUGUUGCUACACUGAUAAUUGCAACACAGACGAGAACUUCUCUAAUAUCAACGUCAACCAACCUUUCAACAAUUUCACAUGCACUGGUUGUAAUUCUGGCACUCCCAACUGUAGUGCAGAAAUUCAAUGCAGAGGACUGGAAAAAACCUGCAUCCGGGCAUUCAUUGAAACCGUUGAUUUAACAUUUCUAUAUACAUAUCAAGGCUGUGGAUCUUCAAACGUGUGUGAGCUCACUAAUGUUUUGUGUACCCUGCCAUUCCUGGAGGAGCACGGAAAAAUCAUUGCACCAGCGACAUGUUCCCCUGCAAUCGCACCAACGACUGCUGCACCAACAACAACAACCACAGCUGCACCUACUACAGAAGAAACCACAACUACUACACCAUGUCCCGUGACACUUCUCAAGCAUUUGGAUGAUUGUUCAGCAUUACUGCGCAAACUGCACCAACUGUCGUGUAAAGUUAAAAGAAAGGUUAUAAACACACAUGCACUGUCGCUGAUUCAUCUUCACCAAGACCUGAUUUCGUACCAAAUGAAGCUGAUAGAGCAACAGAUGAUGCUGACCGAUCAGUACGACUACAAUAUGCCGCUGACGUUCCAGCAGAACAUGGUUCUGAGCCACCAGCAGCUGGUCCUGCACCAGAUUUACCAGCACCUUCAAUCCCAGCAGUUCAUCCCUCACCUCUUCAACCAACAACUGCUGCUCAACCAACUCCAACAACAGCUCCACCUCUACCAACACGGCCUCAUGCUUCACUUCAACAAUGACCCACUGAACAAUUAUUACCUUCACUCACUGCUGCCCACCGACCAAGAGUCACCAGACGAUUACCCACCGUACCAAUAUCCUUAACUCAGGUCCACCUGACACAUCUAUACCAUGAAUUAAUUCAGCUGUGGAAAUGGGAUCAUCUGGGUGAUCAUAUAAUUUAUGAUAUCUAGCUGUUUGUUUUCUGCUUUAUUUUAAUGAUUAUUGCGAGUACAUUUUGUGAUCAUCAUUUCUUAAAAUGACAUUAAGAAAUGUUUAGACCACAAGUGUCAAACUCAAGGCCCGGGGGCCAAAUCCGGCCCUUUUGAGCAUUUGUUCUGGCCGACAGGAGAAAGUCAAAAUGACAGAAAAAGCAUGUAUUAAUGUGUAAAUCACAAAAUAAUUCAGUUGUAGAUAUCUCAGCCCCUCCAACUACAGAUGAAUACAAAUUUCCAAAUUUCCCAGGCUAUAUCACAUAUCAGUCAUUUUUUUACAUCUGAAUUUUUUUUUUUAAAUCCUGCAAAUUUCCUCAAAUGAUUCUACUAAAUUGAAUAACAAUUAUUCAUAAUGUCAAUGAAAUGUAAGUGCAUUUAACUUUAAUGUCACUUAAUUCUUGGAUAUUGUCAAUCUCAUAUAGUUUUUAUGUAACGUAUACCUGGAAGUGCAAACUAGGACACACUAAUGUUGAAACUGUUCUUUUUCCUGCUAAAAUCUGUGGCCUACUUGAGAUCAAACUGGUCUGUAUGUAUGGCCCCUGAACUAAAAUGAGUUUGACACCCCAGGUUUAGCCAAUCAGUAAUGCUUUCUCAUAUUUACA